ACCGUAGAGGACGGACAGGAGGGGUGGGGGGCAUCCAUCCAUCCACGUGGGAGCAUGUUGUUCUCUCCGUACAGGAAUGUAUCCGACCAAUGUGGAGACGUCUGAUCACAGGAAUUAAAGAUUGGAUAUGGAAGGUUUGGAGACUGAGAGUCACUCUGCAGACGAUCUAAACAGACAGAAACAGGUCCUCAGGUCGCUCUAAAUCCAUCCAUGGCCCAGUUUGAAGAGCGUCCCUGGACUGUGUUGAGCUCCCUGCUGCUCGUCCUCAGUCUGCACGCAGUCACAGGCUCAUCAGGCUGGGCUGGGUGCUUCCAUGGACAGGAUGUGUUUGCAACAAUACGAGAAAACAGUCCCUCAGGUGAACGCGUGGCUGAUGUGAAGGUGGACACAGAAGUAGACGGUGUUCACUGGAGCCUGAAUGGGAAAGAUGCUGACUGGUUGUACUUAGAGGAUGGAACGAUUCGACUGAACACAUCAGCUGACAAGAUCUUCGACAGAGAGGUGACGACUCAGCAUAUCCAGCCUUAACUGGAUGAAAAACAUACAAUUUAUUUAGGUGAAAGAAUCAUAGAGUUUUGC
rnacentral:lncRNA from 1 species